rnacentral:rRNA from 1 species
UUGGAGGGCAAGUCUGGUGCCAGCAGCCGCGGUAAUUCCAGCUCCAAUAGCGUAUAUUAAAGUUGCUGCAGUUAAAAAGCUCGUAGUUGAAUUUCGGGACCAAUAUGUCGGUCGUGCCUCGGUACGUACUGGCAUCGUUGGUUUCUCCCUUCUGACGAACCAUGAUGUCAUUUAUUUGGUGUCGUGGGGAAUCAGGACUGUUACUUUGAAAAAAUUAGAGUGUUUAAAGCAGGCUCACGCUUGAAUACAUUAGCAUGGAAUAAUGAAAUAGGACGUUUGAUUCUAUUUUGUUGGUUUCUGGGAUUGACGUAAUGAUUAAUAGGGAUAGUUGGGGGCAUUAGUAUUCAAUUGUCAGAGGUGAAAUUCUUGGAUUUAUUGAAGACUAACUACUGCGAAAGCAUUUGCCAAGGAUGUUUUCAUUAAUCAAGAACGAAAGUUAGGGGAUCGAAGACGAUCAGAUACCGUCGUAGUCUUAACCAUAAACUAUGCCGACUAGGGAUCGGAUGAUGUUAAUUUUUUAAUGAUUCAUUCGGCGCCUCACGGGAAACCAAAGUGUUUGGGUUC